UGCCAGCAGCCGCGGUAAUACGAAGGGUGCAAGCGUUACUCGGAAUUACUGGGCGUAAAGCGUGCGUAGGUGGUUCGUAGGUCUGCCGUGAAAGCCCCGGGCUCAACCUGGGAAUGGCGGUGGAUACUGGCGGACUAGAGUGCGGUAGAGGGUGGUGGAAUUCCCGGUGUAGCAGUGAAAUGCGUAGAGAUCGGGAGGAACAUCUGUGGCGAAGGCGGCCACCUGGACCAGCACUGACACUGAGGCACGAAAGCGUGGGGAGCAAACAGGAUUAGAUACCCUGGUAGUCCAC
rnacentral:rRNA from 1 species